UGUUCUCCAUUAACGCAAACGGACUUUGAAACAUGUACAGGUGCCAGUAAAAUAUUAUGAAAAUUUGAUGUUGGACUAGGAAAGUCGGAGACGUGUUCUGUUAUAUAAAUUAUUUCAACGGUAAGGUUUUAUGGGGUUUUAUAUCUGUGGUGCAUCUGUUCACACUGAAAUAAUGGAUGUAACAGCUUUAUGUAUAUUUGAAUAUUACUAGUUUAUUAAUCGUUUAUGUGAUUUGAUCUCGUGGUAAUUCGCUAUCUGGCUAUUAUGCUAAACACACUUCUCUUUUUCAUGUAUGCGUGGCUUAUAAUGCUAUAUAACAUGUACACCACUAAUAACCAGAUACCUUUGCGUGUGAGAAAGCAGACAAAACAGUUUACGGAAGAAUCUCUUCACUUGAGCAAGUAUGACGUACCCUGUGAAGUUUGUAUUGCUAGUGCUGGUCUUGGCCACUGUGUGUGGUAGCGUGGUAUCCGAGUCAAAGCGGAAGUGUGUGAAGAACUGUCUCGACGCCUGUGAAGAAGCAUUUGCAUGUGUGAAGUUCUCCAGUAGAUACAGCGAUUGCAUGGCGAGCUGUGACUUCUUCGACGUCUGUAAGAAGGACUGUGUUUGAAUGUAAGCAGACAGAACCUCCGAAUGAUCAUACCUGACCUGCGUUUAUCAGCAACUGAUGCUGUCUGUUCGAAACUGUAAACUUCACAAUUUAAAUGCUAAAUAGGUAUAAUUAAUAUUGGAAACAAAAUAUCAGUCUUUUGAAUAAACCUGAAUGCAUACCUGUGUGGCCAUGGAGCCUUUAAGAAA